GGGGCGUGGCCAUCGCGGUGGGCGGGGCGAGGCGGCGGCGCGGCUGGAGCGCGGCGAGCGGGGCUGGAGCGCGGGUGGAGCGCGGUGCUUCGUGAGGGUGAAGCCGAGCUGAAAGGCCGCCACAGCUGUUGGUACCAGGGCAACACUGCGGCUUUCUGCCAUUAAGGAUCUAAGAAUUAAUCCUGCAGUUUGUUAUAGGUUUGAUCUGGAAGAUGAAGCCCUGGUUGCAGUUGGUGCUCUUUACCUGUAUUUUCUUGAUCUCGCACACAGAAGCGGAGUUCUUCACCUCCAUAGGUCAAAUGACAGACCUGAUCUACGCGGAGAAAGACUUGGUGCAGUCUUUAAAGGAAUAUAUCCGAGCUGAAGAGAACAAGCUCUCUCGGAUCAAAAGCUGGGCUGAAAAAAUGGAUGUCCUGACUAGCAAAUCCACCUCCGAUCCAGAAGGGUAUCUGGCACAUCCUGUAAAUGCAUAUAAGCUGGUGAAGCGUUUAAAUACUGACUGGCUGGAACUGGAAAACCUGGUUCUUCAGGAUACAACAAAUGGCUUUAUUGCAAAUCUUACAAUUCAGCGUCAGUUUUUUCCAACCGAAGAAGAUGAGACUGGAGCUGCGAAGGCUCUGAUGCGCCUGCAGGACACAUACAAACUGGAUCCUGAAACUCUCUCUCGAGGCAACUUGCCAGGAACAAAAUAUAGAUCCUCUUUGACAGUAGGUGACUGCUUUGGUAUGGGGAAGACUGCUUACAAUGAUGGAGACUACUAUCACACAGUCCUGUGGAUGGAACAAGCCUUAAAACAACACGAUGAGGGAGAGGAAACAACAGUCAGCAAAGUGGAGAUCCUGGAUUAUCUCAGCUACGCUGUUUUCCAGUUUGGGGAUUUACACAGAGCCAUGGAGCUCACCAGGCGCCUGAUCUCCCUUGACAGUACUCAUGAGAGAGCAGGGAGUAACCUGCGGUACUUUGAGAAGUUGCUGGAGAAGGAGAGAGAGGAGAAGGAGAAAGAGAAGUUGAACAAGACCGUGACAACAACAGAGCCAGUGGUGCAAAGUGGUUCCUACGAGAGGCCUCUUGACUAUUUGCCGGAGCGUGACAUCUAUGAGGCCCUGUGCAGAGGUGAAGGGGUGAAAAUGACACCACGAAGGCAGAAAAGGCUGUUUUGUAGGUACCACGAUGGAAACAGAAACCCUCAUCUGCUCAUAGCUCCCUUUAAGGAAGAAGACGAGUGGGACAGCCCUCAUAUUGUACGAUACUAUGAGGUCAUGUCUGAUGAAGAAAUUGAAAAAAUUAAACAACUAGCGAAGCCAAGGCUGGCACGAGCCACAGUACGUGAUCCCAAAACCGGUGUCCUUACAGUGGCUAGCUACAGGGUAUCGAAAAGCUCAUGGUUGGAGGAGGAGGAUGAUCCUGUUGUGGCCAAGGUGAAUCAACGAAUGCAGCAGAUCACAGGGCUAACAGUGAAAACAGCUGAACUGUUGCAGGUUGCCAACUAUGGAAUGGGAGGGCAGUAUGAGCCACACUUCGAUUUUUCUAGGAAAGAUGAGCCAGAUGCUUUCAAGCGGUUAGGGACGGGAAAUCGCGUGGCCACUUUUUUAAACUAUGUACCAAGCAGGAGGACACCAGAGUGGUAAUAACAUCUGCUUUAAACAGAAAUCCAAGUUACAGUAGAGAAUCUGGGGACUUGAAGAGUUUAUUAGUAGUGAUUCUGGUGUUUAAAUUUGUUAGGAGCUGGAUCUGACUCAUUUCUUUUUUAAUUAGAAUCUGAUCAAAAACUCACCGAAAUCAAUGGAAAGACUUUGUUUUUAACUGGAGUGCUUCCAGGAAGUCUGGGGUUUGGAUCAAGACUGGGAUUUAUGGUGAAUCCAUUAUUACUGGUGAAUUCAGUGGGGUUAAAUUCAUUCGAGUGUAGAAGGGCAAAGCAUACAGAUAAGUGCUUUCCUUUAGAGUCUUGUGCGUAUUAUAGCUUGAGAUGCAUGAAGCACUUGCAGUUGCUUAAUAUCACUGGUGAACUGCAUAGAACCGGUGCAGAAAGUGAGGUUUUGUAAUAGUUUGUAUAGUUUCUGAAGUGGUUGACCAAGAUGCAUAAACUAAAUUAUGAAAAUCAGUUCCAAAGACAUGGUUUCAAUUUAUGAGGAAACCUGUGGUUUAACAGACAGUUGUUUUCCUAAUUGGAUCAUAAACUGGAAUGAAAUUCUUAACUGACUGACUCUCCCUGUUCUAGAGUAGUGGCUUUGUAACACUGCAGGCACACGGCCUCUUAUCGCUAAUUGUGUGUGCAGUGGGUUAUAUAUAAUCCAGACCAAAUGCUGAACAAAAGCCUUCAACUUAAAUAAAAGCCCUCAACAGCAGGUACUGCUACUGUUGCAGUUCCUGUUGGCUGAAGUGCAUCCUUUCCUCAUCAGUGCCUCUCCUAGAGGAGCAAGUAGAAAUCUCUGAGGCUUUGGGCACCUCAGUUUGUGGGACUGCGUGUGCAGAAAGCAUUGUAAACCGACAGUUUGUGGACUUCUGUUUUCUCAGAUGAGUGAUGUAGAAGCUGGAGGGGCUACAGUUUUCCCAGAUUUCGGAGCAGCGAUAUGGCCCAAGAAGGGAACGGCAGUGUUUUGGUACAAUCUUUUCAGAAGUGGCGAAGGUGACUAUAGAACAAGGCAUGCAGCUUGCCCGGUACU